rnacentral:sRNA from 1 species
AAACGUUGUCUAUACGCAUGGUUAGAGA